CUCUGAUUUGCCGGAGCUGUAAUGUGGAACCGUAUUUCAACAUUUUCUGUGAAACCAUUCUAGCCGUACUGAGCUUGGCUGAAGGCUCCCACAGCCUCAGCACAGAAUGGAUUGGCCCUAAUUCUGUCCUGCAGAACUAGUGAUUGAGUAUCCCUAACGAAAGGGCUGGAAGAUCUGCAGAUCCCAUCUUGAGCUGUGAACUCCUCAGGCUGGAGGAGAUGGAUAUCCACAUCUGGAAGUGGCAGUAGCACAUCUGGACAGGGUCAUGGAGACUCGGCAAUUCCUGGGGGCUGUCAAACUGAUUACACGCAGCAAACCAGCCGGUGUGCCUCUGCCUGCUGCUUAGAGUAAGCACUGAUAUGUCAGUCAGACUUUACUAUCAAGUACGAGCUUAUGUGCGCUUCAAGUGUUGUUCAGCCUUCAACUCCUUGGUGUAUUCAGUCAUUUAAAAACUUUCAUACACUCUAAAAAAAAAUGUUGUCUUGCACUGCACUGCCAGGGGGAUCUUUGUUUCAAAUACAGAGCGUCAGCCUGCAAAGCUUCUGUGGAAGACCAGGCUCCCAGUGUUAAAAUGAUCCUUGUUUUCUAUUUCUAUACAAUAAUUUCUGUGAGAUUCUUCUGGAUGGAGGGCUAUAAAAACGUUAAGCUGCUAUUCAUCACGCUGACUUGCAUGAUUUUAUGUGUGCCCAUUCUGUAUAGCAGGAAUACUUAGUGGGAAAUUUAUUCUUCGCUUUUUCACACACCAUUACAUUGUAUUUGUGAGGAUUUAGCACGUUUUCUGGCUUCGCUCACCAAAUCAAGGGUCCACGUUUAAUAGGUACAGCUGAUGUUACAAAAACUAGGCACAAUUA
rnacentral:lncRNA from 1 species